CCUACGGGAGGCAGCAGUGGGGAAUAUUGCUCAAUGGGGGAAACCCUGAAGCAGCGACGCCGCGUGGGGGAUGAAGGUUUUAGGGAUGUAAAACCCUUUUGUGAGGGAAGAAAAUGACGGUAUCUGACGAAUAAGCCCCGGCUAACUCCGUGCCAGCAGCCGCGGUAAUACGGAGGGUGCAAGCGUUAGUCGGAAUCACUGGGCGUAAAGGGUGCGCAGGCGGGCUUGUAAGUCAGAUGUGAAAUCCUGUGGCUUAACUACAGAACUGCAUUGGAAACUGUGUGUCUAGAGUGGGGGAGAGGUAGGUGGAAUUCGUGGUGUAGCGGUGAAAUGCGUAGAUAUCAAGAGGAAUACUGAUGGCGAAGGCGGCCUACUGGAACAUUACUGACGCUGAGGCACGAAGGCGUGGGUAGCAAACAGGAUUAGAUACCCUGGUAGUC
rnacentral:rRNA from 1 species